GUGGCGAGUGGCGAACGGGUGAGUAAUAUAUCGGAACGUACCGAGUAAUGGGGGAUAACUAAUCGAAAGAUUAGCUAAUACCGCAUAUUCUCUGAGGAGGAAAGCAGGGGACCUUCGGGCCUUGCGUUAUCGAGCGGCCGAUAUCUGAUUAGCUAGUUGGUGGGGUAAAGGCCUACCAAGGCGACGAUCAGUAGCGGGUCUGAGAGGAUGAUCCGCCACACUGGGACUGAGACACGGCCCAG
rnacentral:rRNA from 1 species